rnacentral:rRNA from 1 species
AUUGACGCUGGCGGCAGGCCUAACACAUGCAAGUCGAGCGAGCGGCGGACGGGUGAGUAAUGUAUGGGGAACUGCCCGAUGGAGGGGGAUAACUACUGGAAACGGUAGCUAAUACCGCAUACUAUCGGAUGAGCCCAUAUGGGAUUAGCUAGUAGGUGGGGUAAAGGCUCACCUAGGCGACGAUCUCUAGCUGGUCUGAGAGGAUGAUCAGCCACACUGGAACUGAGACACGGCCCAGACUCCUACGGGAGGCAGCAGUAGGGAAUAUUCGGCAAUGGACGAAAGCCUGACCCAGCAAUGCCGCGUGAGUGAAGAAGGUUUUCGGAUCGUAAAACACUGUUGUUAGAGAAGCGGUACCUAACCAGAAAGCCACGGCUAACUACGUGCCAGCAGCCGCGGUAAUUC